AACCUCCACCGAGUUUUCAGGAUUCUCCUCCUCUCCUGCCUGCCUCCGAGGUCCCCCUUCUCCAAGUUUUGACAGUUUCAACUGAAAAAAUGCAGCGCCUCUCUCGAUUUUUAGAUCGAGCCUGCGUGCUGCCGAAGCAGGGCGCCGAGUCCAUGCGAACUGCCAUCUGAUCCGCUCUUAUCAAUGAAGCAGCCGAUCAUGGCGGAUGGCCCCCGGUGCAAGAGGCGCAAACAAGCCAAUCCCAGGAGGAAAAACGGGUCAUCAAGAUUGUCAGAAAAGGCCUGGACUACAUGCCUGUCCCAGCACUAGAUUGUGGUGAACUAUGACAAUGUAGUGGACACAGGUUCUGAAACAGAUGAGGAAGACAAGCUUCAUAUUGCUGAGGAUGACGGUAUUGCCAACCCUCUGGACCAGGAGACGAGUCCAGCUAGUGUGCCCAACCAUGAGUCCUCCCCACACGUGAGCCAAGCUCUGUUGCCAAGAGAGGAAGAGGAAGAUGAAAUAAGGGAGGGUGGAGUGGAACACCCCUGGCACAACAACGAGAUUCUACAAGCCUCUGUAGAUGGUCCAG
rnacentral:lncRNA from 1 species